AGUGAACGCUGGCGGUAGGCCUAACACAUGCAAGUCGAACGGCAGCACAGUAAGAGCUUGCUCUUACGGGUGGCGAGUGGCGGACGGGUGAGGAAUACAUCGGAAUCUACUUUUUCGUGGGGGAUAACGUAGGGAAACUUACGCUAAUACCGCAUACGACCUACGGGUGAAAGCAGGGGAUCUUCGGACCUUGCGCGAUUGAAUGAGCCGAUGUCGGAUUAGCUAGUUGGGGGGGUAAAGGCCCACCAAGGCGACGAUCCGUAGCUGGUCUGAGAGGAUGAUCAGCCACACUAGAACUGAGACACGGUCCAGGCUCCUACGGGAGGCAGCAGUGGGGAAUAUUGGACAAUGGGCGCAAGCCUGAUCCAGCCAUACCGCGUGGGUGAAGAAGGCCUUCGGUUUGUAAAGCCCUUUUGUUGGGAAAGAAAAGCAGCAGGUUAAUACCCCGCUGUUCUGACGGUACCCAAAGAAUAAGCACCGGCUAACUUCGUG
rnacentral:rRNA from 1 species